CCCAUGCCAAAGACUGUUACCAUCCAAUAGUAUUCAAAUAUUUUGCAAUCAACGAAACAAUUCAAACCGGUCGUUGUUCUAUAGCAACUUGCAAAGCGGCUCCAUUUGACAUCGAUGAAACUUUAUGUGAUUGUGGUCCGACGGUAAUAAAUUAUGGAAGUGGAUGCUUCCAAGGAGCAGUCGACUACUCAAAGGACUAUCCAGCUUGUUGUGAGAGACCGUUAAUUUGUGUGUAAAUUUUGAUUUCUUCCCGUUUUAAAACUAAAACUACUCAUAGAGCUAAGACAGUUUCACUAGGCUACCGCUGAAUAAAAUACCCAAUUUACCUCUGUGCCAUAGUUGAAAUUAAUAAUUUGAAGUGUUCAUUCUACACCUCAUCUUACGUAUAUUUACAUCUAAAAAAUUUAUUUCGAAAAAAAAAAUCUUGCCAAGAAUGACGAACCAUAAAGAAAA